GCCGAAGUUACCUCAAGCCAUGUUGAUGCUGGUGCUGGUAAACCAGAAUUCAGUUCAAGCAAUUGUAACAGAAACAGAUGCAUUGGGAAGGCAAAGAAGAAUUCAAAAUCAAAAGAGAAGGGGGAGUUCUCCCAAAGCUCAAAGAGUAGCCUUGGUGAAUAUAGCACAAGUACGAGCAACAGUGAUGAGAGCAAUGCAAGCAGGCCUAGCUGUUGCAACAGACCCC
rnacentral:misc_RNA from 1 species